GAUGAAGAACGUAGCGAAAUGCGAUAAGUAAUGUGAAUUGCAGAAUUCAGUGAAUCAUCGAAUCUUUGAACGCACAUUGCGCCCCUUGGUAUUCCAUGGGGCAUGCCUGUUCGAGCGUCAUUUGUACCCUCAAGCUUUGCUUGGUGUUGGGCGUCUUGUCUUGUAUUAGACUCGCCUUAAAGUCAUUGGCAGCCAGUGUUUUUGGUAGUAAGCGCAGCACAUUUUGCGUCUUAGUCCUUGAAUCGUGGCAUCCAUGAAGCCUUUUUUCACUUUUGACCUCGGAUCAGGUAGGGAUACCCGCUGAACUUAAGCAUAUCAAUAAGCGGAGGA
rnacentral:misc_RNA from 1 species